AACAUAAGUUGAACUUUAAUUCACGAACUUUCAACCAGUAAUAAUAAUAAUUAAACGAGUUAAAAAAGAACUAGACACAGUUGUGAGCCAUGGUGCGGUCAUUGCUUCUGGGUUGUGAAUGACGAAAGGGAUGUUCUGAUAUUUACAUCGCGACUCUUAUUAAAUAACGCUGAUGCCAGAUAUUGGAGAAGAAUGUUCCUUUACAGAGGCAAGAUUGGCCUUCAUCAAGUUGGAAAAAUAUACAGAUCUUCUGGGCUAUACCUCUGUGUAGGCUAGUGAAAACCUCAAAUCCAAAAAAAAAAAAAAUGGUUUGCAGAACUUUAAAAUUAAAUUAUAAUAAAAAAUUGUUUUAUAAGUCAGAUCAUUUUUUUUUUCAAAUAAUAUAUUAUUUGUGUAGAUUGACAUAUAUUAAAUCAAAUGAUAAAAGUUUCUUUAUCAUUACCCAUUUUCACUAACCACAUAGCUGACUGCCAGUUGAUUAGCAUGCCACUAUACUGUUCUUCUAUUUAUGGUUUUGCCCUCAGCACACUGCCUAGUGUGAGAGCUAUAUAACAACUUCCAAAUCCAAAAAUCACUAACCAUGAACUUUUAACUCUGAAAAUUCUUAAAACAAUGGCAAGCCCUCAAUAUUUGAUGCAGCAUACUCCUGAAAUCUGAAGCCAAGUAUGAUACUAAAUGUGUUUAUUGCCGUGUAAUAACUGAAUACAUAGUCUUUAUGUCUUAUAAAUUUGGAAUACUUUUAUUGUCAUGAAUUGUGAUCCAGCUCAGAACCUGUAGCCACUUGUGUUGCAUUCAGUGCAUCAAGUGGGGGUUUGUACUCAGCUUCAGGACUGCAACCUGCAACAAGUAAAAAGAUAAUGACAAUAACAUACAAAUUCUGUAAAUUUUAAACCUUUUCAGUGGAUAUCGUGAUCAGAAUUUCUUUUAGAUUGUGGUAUUCUGUGUUUGACACCAUGUAGUCAUUUAGGGGGCUACAUGGUGUCAUAAGACAAAAGACAAUAACUGAAAUUUUUAAUGUCAUGAAAAACCCCAUUUUCAUGAGGUUCAUACUUCAACUCCGUAUUCAGGAGGUCCCAGUUCAAAACUCAGUCCCAGGAACUUUGUCGGCUGAGAGUUUUAAAUGUCAGCUUUAAAAGUACAGAUUCUGAUAAAUUUAAUUUGAAAUAUUUUAGUAAUAUGAUGUAUAUUUAAUAAAAUUUGAGCUGAAAAUUAA